AGGCGGUGGAUCAUGUUGUUUAAUUCGAUGAUACGCGAAGAACCUUACCAGGUCUUGACAUCCCCCGCGAUGCUUUAGAGAUAAAGCGGAGGUAUUCGGGGAGACAGGUGGUGCAUGGUUGUCGUCAGCUCGUGUCGUGAGAUGUUGGGUUAAGUCCCGCAACGAGCGCAACCCUAUUGCUAGUUACCAUCAUUAAGUUGGGGACUCUAGCGAGACUGCCAGUGAUAAACUGGAGGAAGGUGGGGAUGACGUCAAAUCAUCAUGCCCCUUAUGACCUGGGCUACAAACGUGAUACAAUGGCUGGAACAAAGGGAUGCGAAGCAGUGAUGUGGAGCGAAACCCAUAAAAACAGUCUCAGUUCGGAUUGAAGUCUGCAACUCGACUUCAUGAAGUCGGAAUCGCUAGUAAUCGCGGAUCAGAACGCCGCGGUGAAUACGUUCUCGGGGUUU
rnacentral:rRNA from 1 species